rnacentral:rRNA from 1 species
AAUGGACGCAAGUCUGAACCAGCCAUGCCGCGUGAGGGAUGAAGGUCCUCUGGAUUGUAAACCUCUUUUAUCUAUGAAGAAACCCCCGAUUUCUAUCGGGGUUGACGGUAAUAGAUGAAUAAGCACCGGCUAACUCCGUGCCAGCAGCCGCGGUAAUACGGAGGGUGCAAGCGUUAUCCGGAUUCACUGGGUUUAAAGGGUGCGUAGGUGGAUUGAUAAGUCAGUGGUGAAAUACUCUCGCUUAACGAGGGAACUGCCGUUGAUACUAUCAAUCUUGAAUGCGGUGGAGGUGGGCGGAAUGUGUCAUGUAGCGGUGAAAUGCUUAGAUAUGACACAGAACACCUAUUGCGAAGGCAGCUCACUACGCCGUGAUUGACACUGAGGCACGAAAGCGUGGGGAUCAAA